ensembl:lncRNA
ACACACACACACACACACACACUACACACACACACUACACGAGACCAUCUUAGUCUCUCUUCUCACACGUAAAGGGUGUGAUCUUCUGAUUCAGGAGUGGCUGAUUCAUGUCUUCAAUACAAACAAAACAGGAGAAAUGACAUGCUGGAGUAUGCAAAAACAAUAAACAAGAACAAACAGACAAACAAACAAAAGCGAUAUACUUUCAGUUAGUCUUUACAAAGUGACCUUGUGUUAAUGGAAUAACAGCAUGCAUUGAGAGACCUCAAACACAACAGCUGACUCUGAAAGGCUCAUAUCUAGUAGACCCACAACCAUGCCAUACCUGGGCCAUAUCAGGGCCAUAUCUGGGCCAUAUCAGGGCCAUACCUAUGCCAUAUCAGGGCCAUACUACCUAUGCCAUAUCAGGGCCAUAUCUGGGCCAUAUCAGGGCCAUAUCCAGGCCUAUACUGGUGCCAAAUCAGGAGCAGAUUUAUGGCCUGUUUCCUGCUAAGACCUGGGGCCAGCCCAAGGCUUUCCCUCUGGCAUCAGCACCAGAUGACUGGGCCCUCUGGCAUCAGCACCAGAUAACUGGGCCCUCUGUUUCCAUUAGGAGGUGUGAUACGCUUAGAGAUGGACUGGGGCCACAUCAGGUGCAGCUUUAGUGGGCCCGGGCCGGAUGCAGGCCGGAUGCAGGCCAGAUGCAGGCCAGAUGCAGGCCAGAUGCAGGCCGGAUGCAGGCCAGUUCUGAGUCAGAUGCAGGCCAGAUGCAGGCCAGUUCUGAGUCAGAUGCAGGCCAGAUGCAGGCCAGUUCUGAGUCAGAUGCAGGCCAGAUGCAGGCCAGAUGCAGGCCAGUUCUGAGUCAUGGGCUACUCCAGAGUCAGCUGCUGAGGUCUGAGCUGGUUUUGGCAAAGAGGGUUAUAGAGCACUAAUGCUGAGAGGAGCAACACAUGUCACAGGACGGAGAUGCAACAAUCAUCACACACACACACACACACACACACACACACACACACACACACACGCGCGCGCACGCACGCGCGCGCACACACACACACACACACACACACACACACACACACACACACACACACACACACACACACACACGAGCGCACACGCAAGCACAUGCACACUUGCACACGCAGGCACACACACACACACACACCCGCACGUGCACACGCACGGACACACACACGGAGCGUCGGUGUCCUUCACUUUGACGGUUAUGGCACAUUUUUGCUCCUGCUGGUGUGAUGUGAGUGGGGCAGCAAGAGCUCCUCUGCCGUGAGUGAGAGAGUGUGUGAG